GGAAUAUUAGCUNAGUUGGUAGAGCAAAUGGCUGUUAACCAUUAGGUCGUAGGUUCGAAUCCUUCAUAUUCCG
rnacentral:tRNA from 1 species